UUGACGAUGCGUUUAUCAGUUGAUGUAAAACAUUUCUAAACAGUUAAGUUUAUGUUUGUUUUGUUCUGUGUGUAAUAUUUUUGGAUAGUUGAAGUUGAAAAUCUGUUGGUGUUGAAAAUGGUGGGUAGCCAGUAAAGUCCGAUUUUGUUUGGUAUUUUUGCAAUCAUAGAUAUGUUGCUUUACCCUCUUAUCCAGAUAUUGGGAUGUAAGACCGAUAUUCUGAAGAUGAUCUCAAUAAUGAGGGAAACGGUGGAACGAUAAAGAAAAUGUUUUUCUAAACCUACGUCACACCAGACCAAAUAAUCGAGAAAAAAAUUGAACAAUUUAUUUAGAACGGUAGUUCAUAGUCUUUAUACGAUUUAUAAUGGAAAGUCAAUUUGCGUUCUUAACUUUCAAACGUUUCUUACAAAAAUUUUGAGCGAAGAGAAAAACGGUCAACCUAUUUUUUGUUUAUGUUCUGUACAGUGGGUGAGCAAACUUCGUCUAAGAUUCCACUAACAGCUCAAACGGGUUAACAAGGAUUGUACAUCGGACGUCAUUAAGGAAGAAGAAAUCCUCACAGUAAAUAGUUUCUGUUUAAACUUCGAGUUUGUCUUGGAGACAGCUUAGUUUUUUGUAGUUGAAUCGUUGCAGUUCAUUGUGGUAUGACAACCAUUGUCAGUUUUGACCUAUCAUGUGGUUUCCCAAUGUUUGCGUGAAGGGUUGUCAGGUGAAUAAGUAGGGUGGGGCGACGAUACAAAACCCUGCAAGUGGUGAAAAGAGGACCAAGACAAUCAGUAACGUAAACUGUAAGUCCACGACCCCCAGAA